UACAUAACUUAAAUAGCUUCAUGCCAAAC
rnacentral:sRNA from 1 species